rnacentral:rRNA from 1 species
GAUGAACGCUGGCGGCGUGCCUAAUACAUGCAAGUCGAGCGAACGGACGAGAAGCUUGCUUCUCUGAUGUUAGCGGCGGACGGGUGAGUAACACGUGUAUAACCUACCUAUCAGACUGGGAUAACUUCGGGAAACCGGAGCUAAUACCGGAUAAUAUUUUGAACCGCAUGGUUCAAAAGUGAAAGACGGUCUUUCUGUCACUUAUAGAUGGAUCCGCGCUGCAUUAGCUAGUUGGUACGGUAACGGCUUACCAAGGCAACGAUGCAUAACCGACCUGAGAGGGUGAUCGGCCACCCUGGAACUGAGACACGGUCCAGACUCCUACGGGAGGCAGCAGUAGGGAAUCUUCCGCAAUGGGCGAAAGCCUGACGGAGCAACGCCGCGUGAGUGAUGAAGGUCUUCGGAUCGUAAAACUCUGUUAUUAGGGAAGAACAGAUGUGGAAGUAACUGUGCACAUCUUGACGGUACCUAAUCAGAAAGCCACGGCUAACUACGUG